CCACUCUUGUUUCUCUGCAUCACGCAUAAAUCUUUCGCCUUUUACUAAAGAUUUCCGUGCAGAGGAACACUCAUUGAGUUUAAACUCAAUUUUUCUCAGCCUUUGAGAAAAUCAAGGGU
rnacentral:snRNA from 1 species